rnacentral:rRNA from 1 species
GACAGAGGGUGCAAACGUUGUUCGGAAUUACUGGGCGUAAAGCGCGUGUAGGCGGCUAUGCAAGUCGGAUGUGAAAGCCCUCGGCUCAACCGGGGAAGUGCACCCGAAACUGCAAAGCUAGAGUCUCGGAGAGGAUCGUGGAAUUCUCGGUGUAGAGGUGAAAUUCGUAGAUAUCGAGAGGAACACCGGUGGCGAAGGCGGGUCUCUGGACAGUUCCUGACGCUGAGGCACGAAGGCCAGGGGAGCAAACGGG